UGGCGCGGGGUCCCCCCUCACGGCCCCCGCGGCCCCGGAACGCCCGCGCCGCCGUGUUACCGUCAGACGGUGUGUGAAAGACAUUCCGGGGCGGUGUGACCGCGGGUUUUAACCUCGGGACCGGACCGCGAGCUUUGUCAGAGCCGGGGGCUCCGAGCCGAACCCGAGGCGGCCCCGCCGCGGGCGCCCCGACCCCGCUCCUGUGCCCGGCGCUGCUCCGGCGCCUCCCGGGCGCUGGGUUUUUAAACGCCAAAAUUCUCAAAAAUCGCCGCAAAAGUACAGUAGUUUUUUUGGUCUGCAUUGACGCGACAGGAAUAAACUCCGUGCUUUUCUUGUGGGCAUUUUAGGAGAUUUUUUGCAAUUUUUUCACAUCGCUGAAUUUAUAGAAUUUUUUGUUUGUUUAAAGAAGAAAAUUUGCAAAGUAUUCUGCUUUGUAUUAUGAGAACAAGAACAUUUAGUGAGAAUAAUAUUUAAUGAGAACAAGAACGUUUAGCAAUAGUAAGAACAUUUAACAAUAACAAAAACAUUUAUUAUGACUGGGUUAAAAAAUGAAUAGCCAUUUAUUCACAUAUAGCUAAAGCCAUUGCCUGGCUUUUUAGCUCUAUGUGAUACUCAAUAACGUUCUGAUUAAUUCCACACUGAAAAAAUAAAACUGGACGAAAACAUCCCAACGUGAAAUCAUUGCAAAUCUGAGCUGUGGAGCCCGGAGUGAGUGGUUCUCUGUGAAUUAUGGUGCUUUAUGUCCAAGGGUUUCUUUGCUACCGGGGAUCCACUUCAGUUCCUGCUGACAGCUAAGCACUAGGGUAUUGACUGUGUUGUGAAUAUUAAGAUUGAUUCUGCUUUAUGUUGCAUUAUAUUACCCGGGAUAAGGGGAAUGAUCCCUCUCCCUUCCCACCUACCUACAUUCCACCUCGGUCGGCUCAUAACCCCUUUCCUUUGGCUUGUGUUUGUUUCCUGCCUUUCCCUAAACUUCUUUGCCUGUCCUGCUCUGGAGCCAGAAAACAAACUGCCCUCGGUGUUCAGACAUUUGCAGGAGGCUCAUUUCAAUUAAGGAGGCAGGCUUAGGUCCCGCGGUCACUUUAUUUGCAGAGGGCUUAGCCUCAGUGUUUUGAAAGGCAAGUAUAGUCCGCCACAUGUCAGAGGUGAGCUGCGAAGAAAACCCGAGUCCUUUCAGCAGUGGGGCUAUUGGCACAGGGUGUCAGUGAGGCUGCCGUUGGCUCACAGGCAAGGGGGAACCUGACAAGACACUCUGUGGUCUGAAACCUUUCGGGGUGUUUCAGUGAUAACUUGUAAGCUGGGAUCCUGAAUUUGUGCUGCAAGAAGUCGAACAAGUUUUCAAGUUAUCUCUCUUUUGUGAGAUCGCUGAGAACCAACAAAGAAUGAAGGCGUCUGCCUGCCCAAAGACGAGCUCCUGCCAACCCCGCAGCACGGGAGGGACAGCAUUAAUGCUCCGGGUGAUUGAUGGAGAUGGAUCCACACAUCCACCAAAAACUCUUCCCGGAAGGGGACCUUCACUCAGGGUCUCCCAGUUGAGGAUUUAACACAUUUAUCAAGCUCCGUUCCCGUAGCUUUCAAUGGAAAAGUUGUAUGAUAUGGAUAUUAUGCUGUCUUUUUUCAAUUUAAACAUUGAUUUGUGUGAAACAUUAAUAUAAUGAUAUUUGCAGUCUACCGUAGACAAAUAUAAGCAGAAUUAGACACUCUAAAUUGUUACAAAUGCAACGCAAUAUUUAAAUCUGAAUGAAGGCUGUAUUAAUAAUUACGGAGCGGAGCGCGUGGCAGUCCGGUCGGGAUCUGUCCUCAGAUUUUCGGCUGUUUUUCAAUUCCUUGCACACGGUGCACAUGAUGGCUCGAUGAAUAUUUUUAUGAACAGCAGGAAGGAAUGUGAAUCCGUGCGCGAGCGAGCCCAAAGCAGCGGAGCCCCGAGCGGAGCUGCGCGCCCGCGCCGCGCUGGAAUUAGCCCGAGCUGUCGGAGCGCCGCGAUUGACACCCCGAGAAGAAUGCUUUGUUUGUUUGCUCAGCAGUCAUGUUUAAUGCUCUUCGCUUAUCAAGGUGAUCAGCAUGGUUCAGAUAACACAUGCCUGACACCGCCUGCCUUUUCUCACCAGCGUGUUGACCUUUUGUCACGUUUGCUUUUCUCUGGUAGGCAAUUCCUGGCUUUAAGUGUGAAUGGAGUAAAUAAUUCACAUCAAUAUUUAAUAUAAAUUAUUAAAGUUUCUGUCAGCUCUUACAGUUCAUGCUUUUAUAGAGUUGGAGUAGUUCAUCAGCCAAACAGAUGAAUUGUGCAGCUCAGCUGGACAUUAGAGCUCCUCCACCGUGCUGCCGGGACUGGGGAGGAAGCAGGGAAUUAAAUAGCAAAGGUAAUGCAGCCUGGCCCUUCAACGCUGUGUGUUUUUCAGCAACGCACAUUCUCUAGAAAGGCUCGAAGUACUAGAUAAAUAUCCAGCAUAAUUUAUUUUAUUAGUCCUGUACUUUUUUUUUUCCCUCUUCAUGUUGCAAACAGAAAUGCAGAAAACCCCAGUGACCCCCGGCAUUGUCUUCUACUCUUUGUUAAUGGCCUUCCUUUGGUGUUCCAGGCCCUUCCUGGGCUUAGGGUGGGAGUAUUGGUGCUGGGAGGUAGGGUUUGGGUGCUUGGGGUUUUCUUUCCCCUCAGUGUUCUUUUUCUAUUUUUAAAGACUGGUGUGGAGCCCUAAGGUGAUGAAGUUUCAGAUGUUUUUGGACCUUGUUUAUAAAUUGCAAUUUAUAUUUUGCAAAGUGACCUGUGAUUGAAUGUAGAUACUGAAAACAUUUUUUUAAAGGAGAAAAACUCUGAUCUCUGAUUGUAACAGCUCAAAUGUGUAUUUUGCAUCAGGAAUUUAAUAAAAAUAGCAUGUUUUGCAUAAAAGCAUAUAGUAAAAAUCGUUAUGCGCCUACUUUAAUUUUAUGCUCCUUUAGGUGUUUCAGUUCUUUUGUUAAGGAUCAGUUCAAUGCGUGUUGCACAGUCACAGGGACUGUAAUAAUGUGAAUCACUGAAUAUCCCAUGUAAUACAAAUCCAUCACCUGGAAGGGAGGUGGGUUUGUAUCCUGUGUUUACAGGUCAAACCCUUUUGCUAUACUUCAGUCAUGCAUCAACAUUUAAAGCUAAUCUCUCAUUCCUCAUUGUCCAGCAGGUGGCUUUGUCAUAGAUUAUUUAAUUUUUAAUCAUUUAUUGUAAGUGGAAAAGGUUAUUUAAUAAUAUUAUCCUGACAGCAUUUUUUUAAAAGAGCUACAGUUUUCCAGUAUGUCCUGUGGUGUAUGACAGGGUCAAUGGAAGCAUCUAGAGAGCUUCAAAUACACAAUCUAAAUUAAGAUUCUAAACAGGCAUUACAGAUGCUGGUAACUUUGGCAAUUAUCAUUUUGUUUGGUGAACAGUAGUAAAACAGUGUGCGGUAAAAGUGUUUAGAGAGAGAGGAUAAAUAAAUUGAACAGUUUUGCAA